UACAGAGGUGGCAAGCGUUGUUCGGAAUUACUGGGCGUAAAGGGCGCGUAGGCGGUCAGGUCAGUCCCGUGUGAAAUCCCUCGGCUCAACUGAGGAACUGCACGGGAAACUGCCUGGCUUGAGUUCGGGAGAGGGAAGCGGAAUUCCGGGUGUAGCGGUGAAAUGCGUAGAUAUCCGGAGGAACACCGGUGGCGAAGGCGGCUCCUGGACCGACACUGACGCUGAGGCGCGAAAGCUAGGGGAGCAAACGGGA
rnacentral:rRNA from 1 species